UACAGAGGGCGCGAGCGUUGUCCGGAAUCACUGGGCGUAAAGGGCGCGUAGGUGGCCACUAUAAGGCCGCGGUGAAAGUUCGGGGCUCAACCCUGAAUCUGCCGCGGCGACUGUAGGGCUUGGGCAUCGUAGAGGCAGAUGGAAUUCCGGGUGUAGCGGUGGAAUGCGUAGAGAUCCGGAAGAACACCGGUGGCGAAGGCGGUCUGCUGG
rnacentral:rRNA from 1 species